rnacentral:rRNA from 1 species
UAGGGAAUCUUCGGCAAUGGACGAAAGUCUGACUGAGCAACGCCGCGUGAGUGAAGAAGGUUUUCGGAUCGUAAAACUCUGUUGUUAGAGAAGUACAAGGACGUUAGUAACUGAACGUCCCCUGACGGUAUCUAACCAGAAAGCCACGGCUAACUACGUGCCAGCAGCCGCGGUAAUACGUAGGUGGCAAGCGUUGUCCGGAUUUAUUGGGCGUAAAGCGAGCGCAGGCGGUUUCUUAAGUCUGAUGUGAAAGCCCCCGGCUCAACCGGGGAGGGUCAUUGGAAACUGGGAGACUUGAGUGCAGAAGAGGAGAGUGGAAUUCCAUGUGUAGCGGUGAAAUGCGUAGAUAUAUGGAGGAACACCAGUGGCGAAGGCGGCUCUCUGGUCUGUAACUGACGCUGAGGCUCGAAAGCGUGGGGAGCAAACAGG